GGAGGGUUGAGGAAGACAGACUGAGCUACUAAAACCCUGUGUCACCUUAUCUGAACACUUAGCUUCACCCUGGGCAGACCCUUGGCAUAUAUCUACUAUCUCCCUAGGCUCAGAGUCUACCCUCGCCACGAAAUCAUCUGCAUAAUCAUCCAGGGACAUGUGAGGGAAAUACAUGUGGCUAUCAAUUCUGUCCUCUGGAAGUGGCCCUAUGUCAGCAGAGAAAAAUGGAUCAUUAAGGGACUUCAUAAUAUUUGAAUUCAUUUCCCAUAGCUGAUUGUCAUCCUCAUAAUCAAACAUAAAGCCAUGUUUUACCUCAGGAACUUCGAGGACAUUUGGCUCUUCAUCAUCAAAGAGCAGAGAUGGCACCUUGUUAAUAUAUGUCUGCACAUCCAACUCUGAAGGCAUGGUCAGUUCACAGGGUCCCUGCAUCCAUGCAUCGGUGUCAGUAAGCAGCAGCUCAUCUGGGUCAUCUGGACCUAUUUUUGCCUUUUUGGAAGGUGUCAUCGUUGUGAGGUCAGGGGGACAUGUACACCCAGAUGAUACCUCCUGUUGAUCCAGAGAGGGAGGUGUAGGCCUCUUGAAGCAUUGUUUCACAGGGUCAGUGUUCAUCUUCUGCUCAUUAAACAGCAGUCUGUUGGCUGUGCAGGCGACAGCAAUGGAGGGAUCCAGACACAGUGGCUCAGCUGUUGCUAAAAUCAGUCGGCGCUCAAGCUCAAGUUUUUCUUCCUCAUUCCACUGCCGGUUAUCACUUGUAAUGGACUCUACAUCGCUUACUAGACUCUGCAUCGUGGGACGUAAGAGAAUAUGCCGAGUUUGGUACCCAGGAGGGUGGACGUUACUGCAUUGUCUGUAGUCUCGGAUUUCUGCUAUGACACACCCAUGGUGAAAAACAUUCACAGGAGACUUGUCCAGGACAUCAAUCAGAAAAGAAGGUAACUCUUCAGCAUCCAAGUAUUCAAGCAGUUUCUUUACGUCAUAAGGCAACUGAGAGGUCUCUGAAAAUGACCCACUUUUGUCCUUCAGCAUGAGAGAAUAGCCCUGAUUUUCGGAGUACAGGUUGACCACUAAACAUGGCAACGCCUCUUUCCUCAGAAGCUUCUCCAGCAAGUUGGCAUUGCUUUGAGGACCCCCUGCCUCUGCCUCUCUUUCACAUUCCUCAACAUAGAUGUCAUACAGUUUUUCAUGAAGAGAUUUUUCCCUGGUGGAAGUUAAUCUCGGAGGAGGGGGCUGCUGCUGCACAGACUCAAUAAUGUCAUCGGCCCACUCAAAAGCCUUCUGUAAAUUUCGCGCCAU
rnacentral:lncRNA from 1 species